CCUACGGGGGGCAGCAGUAGGGAAUCUUCCACAAUGGACGAAAGUCUGAUGGAGCAACGCCGCGUGAGUGAAGAAGGGUUUCGGCUCGUAAAGCUCUGUUGUUAGAGAAGAAAGAGCGUGAGAGUAACUGUUCACGUUUCGACGGUAUCUAACCAGAAAGCCACGGCUAACUACGUGCCAGCAGCCGCGGUAAUACGUAGGGGGCAAGCGUUAUCCGGAUUUAUUGGGCGUAAAGGGAACGCAGGCGGUCUUUUAAGUCUGAUGUGAAAGCCCUUGGCUUUA
rnacentral:rRNA from 1 species